ACUGGAUCCAAGGCAGCAGCAUGGCAAGACCCUUUGCAGUUCCUGUUGACUUCAGUGGGAGCUGGACUGGCUCCCAGAGCCGGGUUCCCCAACGGAUUUGGGCAUCUGGUUGCUACUCUAUGCACUUAUGUCUGACAUUUCAUCACUCCCAAAAUCCUUGAAAACCUCCAUUCUGCUGCUUCUUAACCUCAGAGGCGCGCAAAAAAAGUACAUGCCCGGAUUUCUACCCGUGAAGUCGGCUCGAUGCCCCUGUUUCUUGCAGUGCAAAUAUCCCCAAAUGCUGACACCCCUCAGUCAUGUGGACCCCAUCUCAUACAUAAGCCCAUAAAAAUUCACAGAGCCAUCUAGCUCAGCAAGCCCAAUUUAUUGUGGGUUUCAGCGCAUGCUACUGAAUUGGGUCUCACUGGAGAGCUUCUGACGAGGAGUGACUUUACAGUUCCCUCCUCUUCAUAUUCAAUAGCCAAAGUAUUUUUCAGGGACACAUGAAAACCAACUCAAAAUCCCUAUUUACCUGUCUAAUAGCACAGCCUGGGCACCCGUCACCUGUGUGCUCGAGUACAGUAGCCAAGAGGAAAUAGGAGAUUCUGGGAAUCAGUCUUUCUCAGUCCCUCCUGCCCUUUCUUUAGCUUUCUUCUAGCAAAUUCAGUGAGAAGUUGCCAUGUUUGGGCACCUAAUUCUUCCUUUUUAUUGUGUAUGGUCCAGCGCGGGAUUCCCCAGCUGGCAGCUGGCUCCAUUUGUGAAUCAAACCCUAAACAUGCACCCGUUGCAUCAAAUGCAAUUCCUGCUUUUUUUUUCAUUUUCACACACAAAGCAAAUAUCUGCAGUACCUGGACACAGGCUGAAGCACAAGAAAUGCAGAAGGAAACUGAAGGAACAGAGUGGGAAAAGGAAAGCACGCUGCACUAGAUUGCACUUUCUUUGCAGUAAAAAUGGAAGGAUAGCCUUAUCAUCAUUCAUCUACAAAGAAGCAACAAAAGAAGUGGUGCUCCAAACACAAAAUUGAAAUCAGAGGAAGACGGCAAAUCUUACACAAGCACAUGCUUAUUAAGAGAAACCUGUAACAGGUAAAUAUGGAUGCUAGCCAGGGAACAUUACAACAUCUGAGAAGAAUUUCAGCUGAUCCUUGAUCAGAAAAAACAACAGUUCUCUGGCCAGAAACAGCCCUGGCAGUUCCAGGUAUCCAAUUAUCAAUCUCCGUUUCCAAACAAGUGAAACUGGAAACCUGCCCAUUUAUUAACUUCCCCCUCAACAAGCCAUUCACUCGCUCUUAGAAGAACUUCAGAAAAACCUCUCUCAUGUGGACCUCAUGAGGAAUGAAGUCUUAUAAAAGCCUCAUGCACUGGAAGUCUUUCACCCCUCAGAGCUCAAAUUUGAACAAUAUUCUAACUGCAAAAGUGACAUAUCUGGCUAAUGUAGAGAAGGAGGUGAAAGCUCUCUUAAAACAGUAGUAAUUCCCUUUAGGUUGUGGUUUGAUGAAUCCCAGUAGUCUGCUGAAAUCUGGAAAAAUACAUAGUGGGAUAUGAAAACGCCUGCCUGCAAGGAUGGUACCUAAAGGCUUCAGGGCUGCCCUUCCAACCUGGCCUUUCUGCAGGCACCACUCAUUUUUCCAGGGGGAAAAGCAAAUGAACUUUCUCCUUCACCUUACUCAGCAGCUGAUUUGACUUAACAUAAUUCUAAAGACAUGAAUGACACAGAAAUUACGUGAUUAAGUAGAAAGAGCUGAUAGGUUCUAGGAAGCAAGCGCUGCUCUCAGAUGCGCUUGUCUGAAUCUGGAAUAACUUUGAUGAAUUCCAGAUAACAAAUACACUAAUUAAAUAGACAUAAUUAUUUUUAAAUGUCUGCUGGAAGUCAAAAAGAGCUGUGUGAAUUUCCUAGCACAACUUCAGUUGCAUUUGCUGAGUCAAGAGGUGAAAUGAAGAAAUACCAAUUCCUGUAAAUCAUUGAUUAGAAAGUAUAUAUUUUUUUCUUUCAGAGGAUGCUUCCUAGCAAAACAUUACACUGAAAUAAAUUUCAGAUUUGAAAUCUAUUUAAAUUCA
ensembl:lncRNA